rnacentral:ncRNA from 2 species
UCUCUUAAGGUAGCCAAAUGCCU